GACGAACGCUGGCGGCGUGCUUAACACAUGCAAGUCGAACGGAUUUGUGAGGUGUGAGGUUAGAGAUUAGAAGUGGGAAAUAUAGUAGAAAUCGGCUUUGCCGAUUUCAUCAAAAAAUCUCACCUCUAACUUCUCACCUCUCACUUCUCAAAUUAGUGGCGGACGGGUGAGUAACGCGUGGGCAACCUACCCAUAAGCGGGGGAUAACAGUUGGAAACGACUGCUAAUACCGCAUAAGCUAUUAAGGUCGCAUGACCAUAAUAGUAAAGGUGGCGAAAGCUAUCACUUAUGGAUGGGCCCGCGUCUGAUUAGCUAGUUGGUGGGGCAGCGGCCUACCAAGGCAACGAUCAGUAGCCGGCCUGAGAGGGUGGACGGCCACACUGGGACUGAGACACGGCCCAGACUCCUACGGGAGGCAGCAGUGGGGAAUAUUGCGCAAUGGGGGAAACCCUGACGCAGCGACGCCGCGUGAGCGAAGAAGGCCUUAGGGUCGUAAAGCU
rnacentral:rRNA from 1 species